UACAGAGGUGGCAAGCGUUGUUCGGAAUUACUGGGCGUAAAGGGCGCGUAGGCGGUCAGGUCAGUCCCGUGUGAAAUCCCUCGGCUCAACUGAGGAACUGCACGGGAAACUGCCUGGCUUGAGUUCGGGAGAGGGAAGCGGAAUUCCGGGUGUAGCGGUGAAAUGCGUAGAUAUCAGGAGGAACACCGGUGGCGAAGGCGGGUCUCUGGGCAGUAACUGACGCUGAGGAGCGAAAGCGUGGGGAGCGAACAGG
rnacentral:rRNA from 1 species